rnacentral:tRNA from 1 species
GCGCCCGCAGCUCAGAAGGACAAAGCGAUUGCCCUCCGGAGCAAUAGGUCGGGAGUUCGAAUCUCUCCGGGCGCACCA